rnacentral:rRNA from 1 species
UAUUGUACCUUGUUGCUUCGGCGCGCCCGCCUCACGGCCGCCGGGGGGCAUCCGCCCCCGGGCCCGCGCCCGCCGAAGACACCAUUGAACUCUUGUCUGAAGAUUGCAGUCUGAGUAGAUUAGCUAAAUCAGUUAAAACUUUCAACAACGGAUCUCUUGGUUCCGGCAUCGAUGAAGAACGCAGCGAAAUGCGAUAAGUAAUGUGAAUUGCAGAAUUCAGUGAAUCAUCGAGUCUUUGAACGCACAUUGCGCCCCCUGGUAUUCCGGGGGGCAUGCCUGUCCGAGCGUCAUUGCUGCCCUCAAGCACGGCUUGUGUGUUGGGCUUCGCCCCCCGUUCAUCGGGGGGCGGGCCCGAAAGGCAGCGGCGGCACCGCGUCCGGUCCUCGAGCGUAUGGGGCUUUGUCACCCGCUCUGUAGGCCCGGCCGGCGCCCGCCGGCGACACCCAAAUCAAUCUAUCCAGGUUGACCUCGGAUCAGGUAGGGAUACC